GCUGACGAGUGGCGGACGGGUGAGUAAUGUCUGGGAAACUGCCUGAUGGAGGGGGAUAACUACUGGAAACGGUGGCUAAUACCGCAUAACGUCGCAAGACCAAAGAGGGGGACCUUCGGGCCUCUUGCCAUCAGAUGUGCCCAGAUGGGAUUAGCUAGUUGGUGAGGUAACGGCUCACCAAGGCGACGAUCCCUAGCUGGUCUGAGAGGAUGACCAGCCACACUGGAACUGAGACACGGUCCAGACUCCUACGGGAGGCAGCAGUGGGGAAUAUUGCACAAUGGGCGCAAGCCUGAUGCAGCCAUGCCGCGUGUAUGAAGAAGGCCUUCGGGUUGUAAAGUACUUUCAGCGGGGAGGAAGGUGUUGUGGUUAAUAACCGCAGCAAUUGACGUUACCCGCAGAAGAAGCACCGGCUAACUCCGUGCCAGCAGCCGCGGUAAUACGGAGGGUGCAAGCGUUAAUCGGAAUUACUGGGCGUAAAGCGCACGCAGGCGGUCUGUCAAGUCGGAUGUGAAAUCCCCGGGCUCAACCUGGGAACUGCAUUCGAAACUGGCAGGCUUGAGUCUUGUAGAGGGGGGUAGAAUUCCAGGUGUAGCGGUGAAAUGCGUAGAGAUCUGGAGGAAUACCGGUGGCGAAGGCGGCCCCCUGGACAAAGACUGACGCUCAGGUGCGAAAGCGUGGGGAGCAAACAGGAUUAGAUACCCUGGUAGUCCACGCCGUAAACGAUGUCUACUUGGAGGUUGUGCCCUUGAGGCGUGGCUUCCGGAGCUAACGCGUUAAGUAGACCGCCUGGGGAGUACGGCCGCAAGGUUAAAACUCAAAUGAAUUGACGGGGGCCCGCACAAGCGGUGGAGCAUGUGGUUUAAUUCGAUGCAACGCGAAGAACCUUACCUGGUCUUGACAUCCACGGAAGUUUUCAGAGAUGAGAAUGUGCCUUCGGGAACCGUGAGACAGGUGCUGCAUGGCUGUCGUCAGCUCGUGUUGUGAAAUGUUGGGUUAAGUCCCGCAACGAGCGCAACCCUUAUCCUUUGUUGCCAGCGGUCCGGCCGGGAACUCAAAGGAGACUGCCAGUGAUAAACUGGAGGAAGGUGGGGAUGACGUCAAGUCAUCAUGGCCCUUACGACCAGGGCUACACACGUGCUACAAUGGCGCAUACAAAGAGAAGCGACCUCGCGAGAGCAAGCGGACCUCAUAAAGUGCGUCGUAGUCCGGAUUGGAGUCUGCAACUCGACUCCAUGAAGUCGGAAUCGCUAGUAAUCGUGGAUCAGAAUGCCACGGUGAAUACGUUCCCGGGCCUUGUACACACCGCCCGUCACACCAUGGGAGUGGGUUGCAAAAGAAGUAGGUAGCUUAACCUUCGGGAGGGCGCUUACCACUUUGUGAUUCAUGACUGGGGUGAAGUCGUAACAAGGUAACCGUAGGGGAACCUGCGGUUGGAUCACCUCCUUA
rnacentral:rRNA from 1 species